UACGGAGGGGACUAGCGUUGUUCGGAAUUACUGGGCGUAAAGCGCACGUAGGCGGAUUUGUUAGUCAGGGGUGAAAUCCCGAGGCUCAACCUCGGAACUGCCUUUGAUACUGCAAAUCUCGAGUCCGGAAGAGGUGAGUGGAAUUCCUAGUGUAGAGGUGAAAUUCGUAGAUAUUAGGAAGAACACCAGUGGCGAAGACGGCUCACUGGUCCGGUACUGACGCUGAGGUGCGAAAGCGUGGGGAGCAAACAGG
rnacentral:rRNA from 1 species